UAAUUUAACAGAAUAAUGUUGAGCCAGACUGCGUGUGGGUUUUAUUCUGGAGAAUAAAGCAGACUUGGCCUCUGUCCCCAUAGAGCUCGUGGUCCAGCAUUUUCUCUCCUGCUGUCCCUGACGUCCUUCUUCUUACCUCCAGGAGGGCAGACAGCAACCCAUCACCUGACCACGGAAACUCGGCCUAGAAGGUAAAGAACCAAGAAUCCAGGAGGAAAAGACCCAGAGCCGUCACAGCAUCUGAAAGGCCCCACGAUUGGAAAAAGCUUCAUUGAGGGAAAGGAUAUACAUGAAAUUCAGGAAUUGAUGACUGUACAGUGCCUUGAAGAAUGGGCUCGAGGUCCUAAGCCAGACAUGAUCCAAAACCUGGGGGCAGAUGUCCAGACAGGAGAUGGGACUUCAGGAAGAAGGUCAAAGGUGCCGGCAGCACGGGACACCACCUGGGUGAAGACAGGCUUUUAUAAGGAAUCGGUGCAAGAUAUUUCGAUUAUCACAGCAGUUGAAGAAACCUUUUGUUCAAUUUGAGAUUUGAGGGGAUUUGUUUAAUAUUAAAAAAAAAAGUUGCCAAGAACUAUUUCUUUCUAACUGAAAACUUUCAGUUUAUUAAAAACACAAUUUUGGUAGA